GGCUCAGAACGAACGCUGGCGGCGUGGAUAAGACAUGCAAGUCGAACGAGAGAAUUGCUAGCUUGCUAAUAAUUCUCUAGUGGCGCACGGGUGAGUAACACGUGAGUAACCUGCCCCCGAGAGCGGGAUAGCCCUGGGAAACUGGGAUUAAUACCGCAUAGUAUCGAAAGAUUAAAGCAGCAAUGCGCUUGGGGAUGGGCUCGCGGCCUAUUAGUUAGUUGGUGAGGUAACGGCUCACCAAGGCGAUGACGGGUAGCCGGUCUGAGAGGAUGUCCGGCCACACUGGAACUGAGACACGGUCCAGACACCUACGGGUGGCAGCAGUCGAGAAUCAUUCACAAUGGGGGAAACCCUGAUGGUGCGACGCCGCGUGGGGGAAUGAAGGUCUUCGGAUUGUAAACCCCUGUCAUGUGGGAGCAAAUUAAAAAGAUAGUACCACAAGAGGAAGAGACGGCUAACUCUGUGCCAGCAGCCGCGGUAAUACAGAGGUCUCAAGCGUUGUUCGGAAUCACUGGGC
rnacentral:rRNA from 1 species